GGGCCCGCACAAGCGGUGGAGCAUGUGGUUUAAUUCGAUGAUACGCGAGGAACCUUACCAGGACUUAAAUGUAAGUUGCAUGAUUCAGAAAUGAAUCUUUCUUCGGACUACUUACAAGGUGCUGCAUGGUUGUCGUCAGCUCGUGCCGUGAGGUGUCAGGUUAAGUCCUAUAACGAGCGCAACCCCUAUCGUUAGUUGCCAUCAAGUAAAGUUGGGAACUCUAGCGAAACUGCCGGUGCAAACCGUGAGGAAGGUGGGGAUGACGUCAAAUCAUCACGGCCCUUACGUUCUGGGCUACACACGUGCUACAAUGGCCGGUACAGAGGGUUGCGAAGCCGCGAGGUGGAGCC
rnacentral:rRNA from 1 species